GAAAUGCGAUAACUAGUGUGAAUUGCAGAAUUCCGUGAAUCAUCGAGUCUUUGAACGCACAUUGCGCCCCCUGGUAUUCCGGGGGGCAUGCCUGUCCGAGCGUCAUUGCUGCCCAUCAAGCACGGCUUGUGUGUUGGGUCGUCGUCCCCUCUCCGGGGGGGACGGGCCCCAAAGGCAGCGGCGGCACCGCGUCCGAUCCUCGAGCGUAUGGGGCUUUGUCACCCGCUCUGUAGGCCCGGCCGGCGCUUGCCGAACGCAAAUCAAUCUUUUUCCAGGUUGACCUCGGAUCAGGUAGGGAUACCCGCUGAACUUAAG
rnacentral:misc_RNA from 1 species